AGCCGGGUCGGGCUGAGGGCAGCGUCCAGGGCGGCCUGCAGCGCGGCCGCGGUGGGCACGAACAGCUGGUCCGGGAUCAUGAGCCGGUCCCCGCUUC
rnacentral:tRNA from 1 species